AUACGGAGGGUGCAAGCGUUAUCCGGAUUUAUUGGGUUUAAAGGGUGCGUAGGCGGCUCUUUAAGUCAGUGGUGAAAGCCUGGCGCUUAACGCCAGAAAUGCCAUUGAUACUGGAGAGCUUGAGUCAAGAAGAGGUAAGCAGAAUUCAUGGUGUAGCGGUGAAAUGCUUAGAUACCAUGAGGAAUUCCAAUAGCGAAGGCAGCUUACUGGUCUUUGACUGACGCUGAGGCACGAAAGCGUGGGGAGCGAACAGGAUUAGAUACCCCGGUAGUCC
rnacentral:rRNA from 1 species